UCUGUUUUUUAUUCAAAUUUUUCUGAUUACUUUUAGGUGAUGGUUUCUACUUUCAGACGAAGCAGAUAACGAUGGUGACGAAAUCAUACAUCAAGUUUAACGAUUCUCAAUGAUGGGUCAACAUUCAGAUCUAUUUAUAUGUAUUCAGGUUAAAGCGUUAUAGAGGUUUCAAGGAGGGGCAUGCAAGGAUUCUUGUUGCUACAAAUUUGGUUGGUAGAGGAAUUGACAUUGAACGUGUCAAUAUUGUUAUAAACUAUGACAUGCCUGAUUUUGCAGACACUUACUUGCACAGGUUAAUAAUGAACUUGACACGAUGUGGCGCUGGCUUAACGUAUUAAAGUUGUUUGGUGCAAAAUGAUGAGGGUGUCGUAGGGAUGUAUUGGCGGCGGCGUCAAGUUCUGCUUGAAGUUGUAGGGCUUUUAGACUUUGGUGCAAGGAUCGAUUUGUUAUAGCAGCGGAUUUCUUGGAUAUUUUCCAAACUGAGUCCGAUGCAAGCUUCUAAAUUCAUUUUGAAUUUCUGUUUGGAUUUAAUUUGUGCAGGGAGUUUCCUCUUGGAGCCGCGGAUUCAUUGUUUAGGUCCGUGCGUUUUGAUGUGAGUUUCCGAACUGGUUCGAUUCAGUUGGGAUGAUGUGCAACUGUGUUUUUUUGGCACAUGGUCUGAUUAUGCUUAAAUUAUGAAGGCUUGGUUUUGAUA